rnacentral:rRNA from 1 species
UACGUAGGUGGCAAGCGUUGUCCGGAGUUAUUGGGCGUAAAGCGCGCGCAGGCGGUGCGGUAAGUCCCUGGUGAAAGCGCUCGGCUUAACUGGGCGAGGGCCGGGGAGACUGCCACGCUGGAGGGGAGCAGAGGCGAGUGGAAUUCCGGGUGUAGUGGUGAAAUGCGUAGAUAUCGGGAGGAACACCUGUGGCGAAGGCGGCCGGCUGGGGGUACCCUGACGCUGAGGCGCGACAGCGUGGGGAGCGAACCGG